rnacentral:rRNA from 1 species
UUUUAACUCUAUUUAUUGUUGUGUCUUUUUUUCUUUUAUUAUUUUUUAUAUUUAUUUUUGUAAAAUGUUUUAGUUUUUUUAUUUUUUGAAAAGACACUCAAAAUUUGGUUUUUGAACUGGAUUAGUACCCAGGUAAUCAAAGUUUAUUAAUUCGGGAGUAAAGUUUUGUUUAAACCGAAAAAAUAUUGACUGACUUUAAAUUUCUCUUUGGAACAUGCGUAUGGAGAGCCCUCCUUUUUGGUUAAUCUUGUUGGCACAUGUAUGAUUGUUUAGUUUUUAUUUUUUUUUGUAAGGCUUUUUUUGUUUUGCCAUUAAAAACAGAUAUAUAUUUGGCUUAAGGAUUUGUUAUCGUGUGUUACAUAAUUAUUAAUUUUUUUUUAAAUAAA